rnacentral:rRNA from 1 species
UACGUAGGGUGCGAGCGUUGUCCGGAAUUAUUGGGCGUAAAGAGCUCGUAGGCGGUGUGUCGCGUCGGCCGUGAAAACCUGCAGCUUAACUGUGGGCUUGCGGUCGAUACGGGCAUCACUGGAGUUCGGCAGGGGAGACUGGAAUUCCUGGUGUAGCGGUGAAAUGCGCAGAUAUCAGGAGGAACACCGGUGGCGAGGGCGGGUCUCUGGGCCGAUACUGACGCUGAGGAGCGAAAGCGUGGGGAGCGAACAGG